GUGCUUACUUCAGCAGCACAUAUACUAAAAUUGGAACGAUACAAAGAAGAUUAACAUGGAUCCUGACCAAGUAUGACAUGCAAAUUCAUGAAGCAUUCCGUAUUUUU